rnacentral:rRNA from 1 species
AUGGAGGCGACGUCCAUCAGCAUUGGUAAGUCCGUACUGAACGGGGCGCUCAAAUACGCCCAGUCGGCUGUGGCGGAGGAGGUGUCUCUGCAGCUUGGUGUGCAGCGCGACCACUGCUUCAUUUCGGACGAGCUCGAGAUGAUGCAGUCAUUCCUGAUGGCUGCACACGAGGAGCGAGACGAUAACAAGGUGGUCAGGACUUGGGUGAAACAAGUCCGCGAUGUGUCCUACGCCGUCGAGGACUGUCUCCAUAAUUUCGCCGUUCGUCUUCAGAAGCAGUCCUGGUGGCGCAUCCCUCGCACGCUGCUAGACCGGCGUUGUGUGGCGAAGCAGAUGAAGGAGCUCAGAAUCAAGGUGGAGGAUGUCAGCCAGAGGAACCAACGGUACCACCUCAUCAAGGGUUCUAGCUCCAAGCCUACCUCUGUUGUUGGGCAGCCUACCAUCUCCAGUGCAACGAUGUCGGCUGCCGAUGAUGCAAGGCUACUGCAGCAGAAAGCAAAAAUGGAUCUCGUCAAGUUGAUCAAUUGCAAGGAUGAUGCACUUCGAGUGAUAGCUUUGUGGGGCACAAGUAGCAGUGAUCUGGGGGAGAUAUCCAUCGUCAAGAGUGCCUAUGAAGAUCUCAUCAUACACAAGAAUUUUAAUUGCUGUGCUUGGAUCACAUUGAUGUGCCCUUUCAAUCAGUCAGAUUUCAUUCGAAGCAUCAUUAGGCAAAUUUAUGUUAAUUCUCUUCAAGAAACAGGAAAAGAAGGAAAAUCAGCUAUUGGGGCCCAAGUUUUGAGGAUGAUGCCAACUAUGAAAGAAGAUGGUUUGGCUCAUGAGUUCAAGAGAUAUUUAAAUUUCAAGAGUUACCUAAUUGUACUCAAUGGCAUACACACCAUUGAAUAG